CAAUUCAAAAAUCGGAAUAGUCUAAUUUGACAAUUAGGUUUUCAUCUUCCAUCCUGUAGAUCCAGUUUCAAUGGCUUAGUUGAAAAUUUGCCGUUGACUUCAUCUUCCAUCCUGUAGAUCCAGUUUCAAUGGCUUCCAGUUCUUCCUCUAUCGCUAAUGCUGGCAGCUAUGACGUUUUCCUAAGCUUCAGGGGCGAAGAUACUCGUCAUUCUUUUACCGAUCAUCUUUACAAAACAUUAAGGGGAGCAGGAAUCGGUACUUUUAGGGAUAACGAAGAAAUUAGGAGAGGUGAAGAAGUGAAGCCGGAGAUCGAGACAGCAAUUAAAGAAUCUAAGGCUUCAAUCGUUGUAUUGUCAGAAAACUAUGCAACUUCCCCUUGGUGCCUUGACGAGCUUGUUCUGAUCCUUGAACAAAGGAAGGAGGGGAAUCAUUUCGUUUUACCUGUUUUUUAUCAUGUUGAUCCUUCUGAUGUGAGGAAACAAAAUAAAUCUUUCACAAUUGAAGUCAAAGGCUCUUCAAGGUGGACAGAUCACAACGUGAACACGUGGAAGAAAGCUCUUACAGAGGUUGCUAAUUUGGCGGGCAUGGUUCUGUCCGGGCCCGAAACAACUUUUUUGAAGGAAAUUGUUGACACCAUUUACAAUAAGCUGGAUCGCAAAGAAGUACAUCUUCCACCCAAUCUAACAGGGAUGGCCACUCGAUACGAGGAGAUCAAUUCCUGGUUAAAUCAAUCAAAUAUCGAAUUUUUAGCAAUUUGUGGCAUGGGUGGUAGUGGCAAGACAACUCUGGCCAAGUAUAUUUACGAUUCAAAUUGGAGAUAUUUUGAAAACACAAGUUUUGUUGAAAACAUUGGUCGAAGAUGUAAGGAAUCCCAUGAUUUGCUUGAGCUACAAGAACAACUUCUCAACGAUAUUUUAGGCGGUAAGAAAAGAAAAAUACCCGGUGUUUCUCAGGGUACAUGUAAGAUUGAGGAAGCCUUACGAACAAAAAGGACGCUUAUUGUUCUUGAUGACAUUGCUGAACAAAAUCAGUUGGUCGAUUUACUUGGAACUGGAACAAUCAAUGCACAAAGCAAGAUUAUAAUAACUACAAUUAGGGAAAAUACAAAAAAUUGGUUCAAGUCCACAUAUUAUAGGUGUCAAGAGUAUAAAAUAAAAUUAUUAAAUGAGGAUGAGUCGUUAGAGCUUUUAAGUCGUCAUGCAUUUGGUUCCAAAGUUCCCAUGGAAGGUUUCGAAGAGCUUGCAAUACAAGCAAUACGAUAUUGUGAAGGAAAUCCUCUCGCUGUUGAAGUGUUGGCUUCUUCUCUAUCCAAUGAAAAUACCAUUUUAUACUGGAAAAGUCGAUUGAAUUUCUUGGAUAAAGAUUUUGAUUCUCGAAUCCAAAGUGUACUUAUAACGAGCUACGAGUCAUUGCCAUCUAUCUUAGAGAAAGAAUUAUUUUUGCAUAUUGCUUGUUUCUUUAUUGGCAAAGACAAGGAUUAUGUGGUAAAGAUAUUGGAGCUAGAUUAUUGUGCAUUAUCUGGGAUCAAAACCCUAUCCAACAAAUGCCUUCUUUCCGUUUCACCAAAUAAUAAACUGAUGAUGCAUCGAUUGAUUCAAGAAAUGGGGAAAAAUUUGGUUCGUCAAGAGUCACCAAAAUUCCCUGCAAGACGUAGUAGAGUCUGGCUUAGUAGUGAUUCUUAUAAGAUAUUUCGUAAGGGAGAGGGUUCAGAAACAAUGGAAGGUUUAGCACUUGACAUGCAAUUGUUAAAGGAAGAUAAGGUUGCAUUCAAGUCACUAGACCUCAAGACAGAUGCACUUAAAGAGAUGGAUAAACUAAAAUUGCUCCACUUAAAUUUUGUGUAUCUCAACGGGUCUUACGAGAAUUUUUCUGAAGAUUUACGAUGGCUCUGCUGGCUUGGAUUCCCUUUAACAACCAUACCCUCUGACUUAUUCAUGGGAAACUUGGUGGCUUUAGAUAUGAGCUACAGCAAAUUGGAAGUAUUUGAUCCGCCCAUGGUUCUUCAGUCAUUGCAGAUUCUAAAUCUUAAAGACUCAUAUGAUCUAUUUGAAAUCCGCAACAUGUCAAUGAUUCCUCAGCUUGAGACUUUGAUUCUUUGGAACUGUCACAGUCUUGUUCGUGUUUGUGAAACCAUUGGAGACCUGACGAGUCUUGCACUACUAAACAUGACAGGGUGUAAAAAGUUGUUAGUAGGAGUUGCAGAACAACAUACGUUUUCCUUCCCACAUUCAUUACACCGAUUAUUCCUCAAAGACUGCAAUCUUGAGUGUACCAAGUCUUUUCCUCUGACUUUCAGUGUUCAAAUAUCUUUGCAGUACUUGAAUUUAGGCAAUAGUCUAUUUGAGUGUCUACCUUGUUAUGAUCAUCUAAAACAUCUUCGGGUCCUUGACUUGAGUUUCUGCUCAAGACUUAAAUGGCUUGUAUAUCUCCCAAGUACGCUUGCAGAAUUGUAUGUAUACUACUGUGUGUCAUUGGAGAUAAUAACUUUCCAAGAACACCGAUUCACAUUGCAAGAGUUUGGCUAUGAAGGAUGUAUUUCUUUGUCUGAAAUUGAAGGCUUUAUUAGAUUGGUGCCUUUAACCAAACUUGAGGAGAAUGAUUUGGCACACAUGAAGUGGCUAAAAGAAUAUCAAAAUCAGGAGGUUUGCCUGGUUGGUGAUGAUGAGCUCACCAAAGGCAGAACUCAGUGUGUCCAUAUGUUGUAUGAAUUCGAUAUAAUGAGCACAUCUCUGCCAGACAUAAAGGAUCCAAACCUGAAGCCUAUGUAUGUAUCAGCAUCAUCAACUUUGUCCUUUGACGUGCCUGUGUGUCCCAAGAAUAGGAAGCUCAAAGGACUUGAUGUAACUCUAAGAUAUACAAUAUCAGGUGAUGAUGAUUUUGCAUGGUUCUGUAAAAUCACUACUUCCAAUGGUGAUGAUUUGAUGUACAACCCCAAAGUCUUUGGAAAACCUGAUUCUUGGAAAGUUGGUAUAUGGUUCAGCUAUUGGCCAAUUGGAAACACAUUGAAUGUUGGAGAUAAAGUAAGUGUCUCUAUUGUUGUAAUGAGUGGAUUGGAGGUAUCUGAAUGUGGCGUGAACCUUGUUUAUGCUGAUGAUGAAGCAGCUGAGGAAACCUUGGAAAAUAACAAGGGAUGGGUAGAAAUUCUUGGAGGAGAUUUGUCUAGAUUCCAACUAAGCACAGGAGCAUACUAUCUUUGUUGUCGUGAUUUUUAUGAGUUGAUGGAGGUUGGUAGACUAACUCCUGACUGGUUUAGAAUUUUAGUUGGUGAUACUGUUGACAACAUAGAGGUACGAGGAUGGAGAAAGACAGGUCGACCUAAGCAGUUGAAUCCAUCAUUUACAGAGUUGAAAACUGUUCAAUGCAUCAUCCAUGGUCCUCAAUCGGAGGAAAUAUACAAGGUCGCAGAGAUGUCAAAAUCAUCUUUUGUGGAUAAAACUUCAAGCAUGCUUGUGAAUAAAAUGAAAUCUGGCACAACAUUUAAAUUUAAUGAUGCAACAACAAAGGCAGGGGACGUGCCUGGAGCUGCAGCUGCAACUGCAUCUGCAUCUGCAUCUAAAUUUGUUGAUGAGUUUCUUGCUUCUCGCUUAGCUCAAGUAAAGGAUCAAGUAAUGGAAGCAGACAAAUCAAGAGGUGGUAUGUUUGAUGGAUUAUUUAGAAGCAAGUUUUACACCAAAUGCAAGUCACAGAUCAAGAUGAUGGAGACACGACUUGAUUUGAUAAUGACAAACAGGAAUGCAACCCAGAAGUAUUUGAGGAGCGAUGUUGCUGACCUUUUUAAGAACGGGCUUGAUUCCAAUGCCUACAAAAGGGUUGGACAGUUAUAUGUUGAACAGAAUCUGUCAUCAUGUUAUGAAUUCAUAGAACAAUCAUGCUUGCUCAUUUUAAAUUAUCUCCCAGCCAUGGCUAAACAAAGGGAAUGCCCUGAGGAAUGCCAUGAAGCUAUCUCCACUUUGAUGUUUUCUGCAACAAGCUUUCCUGAUCUGCCAGAAAUGCGCAAACUAAGAAGUUUAUUUGCUGACAAAUAUGGAAAUCAUCUUGAACCUUAUGUCAACAAAGAGUUUGUAAAGAAAUUGAAGGCAGACCCUCCCACUAAAGAUAUAAAGCUUCAAAUGAUGCAAGAGAUUGCACGGGAGUGUGGUAUAGAGUGGGAUUACAAGGCUUUUGAACAGAAAUUGGAAAAACAACCUCCAUUUGAAUAGGUCAUAUCAAAGGAAAAGUUAUGGUGUUAGGCGAAGCUCAAUCCAAAUCACAAGUCAUCUACUUUUAACAAGUAGCAAUAUGAAGGUACAAGGAAAGCAAUAUUUGAAUAUGUUGAGAGACUUAACGAGUUUUAUGGCUACUGAAUAAAUUUAUGUAAUAUAUGUAAAGAUUUAGUUUAUGCUUAUAUUUUUGUAUUAGUUAUUACAUCCAAAGCUUCUAAACAUGAAUGAAAUACGUUUCUUCAGAAAUACUUUUGAUAUUGAUAUCAUUUCACAUUAAUAA